rnacentral:piRNA from 1 species
UGCAUACUUGCUCUUAGGGCUUGGAAUUGA